AGUGAACGCUGGCGGUAGGCCUAACACAUGCAAGUCGAACGGCAGCACAGGAGAGCUUGCUCUCUGGGUGGCGAGUGGCGGACGGGUGAGGAAUACAUCGGAAUCUACUUUUUCGUGGGGGAUAACGUAGGGAAACUUACGCUAAUACCGCAUACGACCUACGGGUGAAAGCAGGGGACCUUCGGGCCUUGCGCGAUUGAAUGAGCCGAUGUCGGAUUAGCUAGUUGGCGGGGUAAAGGCCCACCAAGGCGACGAUCCGUAGCUGGUCUGAGAGGCUGAUCAACCACACUGGAACUGAGACACGGUCCAGACUCCUACGGGAGGCAGCAGUGGGGAAUAUUGGACAAUGGGCGCAAGCCUGAUCCAGCCAUACCGCGUGGGUGAAGAAGGCCUUCGGGUUGUAAAGCCCUUUUGUUGGGAAAGAAAUCCAGCUGGCUAAUACCCGGUUGGGAUGACGGUACCCAAAGAAUAAGCACCGGCUAACUUCGUGCCAGCCGCCGCAGUAA
rnacentral:rRNA from 1 species